GACGAACGCUGGCGGCGUGCCUAAUACAUGCAAGUAGAACGCACAGUUUAUACCGUAGCUUGCUACACCAUAGACUGUGAGUUGCGAACGGGUGAGUAACGCGUAGGUAACCUGCCUGGUAGCGGGGGAUAACUAUUGGAAACGAUAGCUAAUACCGCAUAAUAUUAAUUAUUGCAUGAUAAUUGAUUGAAAGAUGCAACUGCAUCACUACCAGAUGGACCUGCGUUGUAUUAGCUAGUAGGUGAGGUAACGGCUCACCUAGGCGACGAUACAUAGCCGACCUGAGAGGGUGAUCGGCCACACUGGGACUGAGACACGGCCCAGACUCCUACGGGAGGCAGCAGUAGGGAAUCUUCGGCAAUGGACGAAAGUCUGACCGAGCAACGCCGCGUGAGUGAAGAAGGUUUUCGGAUCGUAAAGCUCUGUUGUAAGAGAAGAACGGGUGUGAGAGUGGAAAGUUCACACUGUGACGGUAUCUUACCAGAAAGGGACGGCUAACUACGUGCCAGCAGCCGCGGUAAUACGUAGGUCCCGAGCGUUGUCCGGAUUUAUUGGGCGUAAAGCGAGCGCAGGCGGUUAGAUAAGUCUGAAGUUAAAGGCUGUGGCUUAACCAUAGUACGCUUUGGAAACUGUUUAACUUGAGUGCAGAAGGGGAGAGUGGAAUUCCAUGUGUAGCGGUGAAAUGCGUAGAUAUAUGGAGGAACACCGGUGGCGAAAGCGGCUCUCUGGUCUGUAACUGACGCUGAGGCUCGAAAGCGUGGGGAGCGAACAGG
rnacentral:rRNA from 1 species